GACGAACGCUUGCGGCGUGCCUAAGAAAUGCAAGUCGAGCGGGGAGCAAUCCCAGCGGCGAACGGUCGCGUAACACGUAAGCAACCUGCCCGAAAGACCGGGAUAACGUUCCGAAAGGGGCGCUAAUACCGGAUGUGACCAUUCUGCGACAUCGCGGGGUGAUUAAAUCAUUUAUGGCUUUCGGAGGGGCUUGCGGCCUAUCAGCUAGAUGGCGGGGUAACGGCUCACCAUGGCGACGACGGGUAGCUGGUCUGAGAGGAUGGUCAGCCG
rnacentral:rRNA from 1 species